UACGUAGGGUGCAAGCGUUGUCCGGAAUUAUUGGGCGUAAAGAGCUCGUAGGCGGCUUGUCGCGUCGACUGUGAAAUCCCGCGGCUCAACUGCGGGUCUGCAGUCGAUACGGGCAGGCUAGAGUUCGGUAGGGGAGACUGGAAUUCCUGGUGUAGCGGUGAAAUGCGCAGAUAUCAGGAGGAACACCGAUGGCGAAGGCAGGUCUCUGGGCCGAUACUGACGCUGAGGAGCGAAAGCGUGGGGAGCGAACAGG
rnacentral:rRNA from 1 species